rnacentral:rRNA from 1 species
GUUUGAUCCUGGCUCAGGAUGAACGCUAGCGACAGGCUUAACACAUGCAAGUCGAGGGGCAGCGGGAUUUUAGCAAUAAGAUUGCCGGCGACCGGCGCACGGGUGAGUAACGCGUAUGAAACCUGCCUUCUACAGGGGCACAGGCCGUUGAAAGACGGAUUAAUUCCCCAUGUAACAGAGAUACCUCCUGGUAUUUUUGUAAAAGGUAUUUUCCGGUAGGAGAUGGUCAUGCGUUCCAUUAGCUAGUUGGGAGGGUAACGGCCUGCCAAGGCGACGAUGGAUAGGGGAACUGAGAGGUUUGUCCCCCACACCGGUACUGAGACACGGACCGGACUCCUACGGGAGGCAGCAGUGAGGAAUAUUGGUCAAUGGGCGGUAGCCUGAACCAGCCAAGUCGCGUGAAGGAAGACGGUAUUAUGUAUUGUAAACUUCUUUUGCAGGGGAUUAAAGUUCCGGACGGGUCCGGAUUUGCAAGUACCCUGCGAAUAAGCAUCGGCUAACUCCGUGCCAGCAGCCGCGGUAAUACGGAGGAUGCGAGCGUUAUCCGGAUUUAUUGGGUUUAAAGGGUGCGUAGGCGGGGAUUUAAGUCAGCGGUGAAAUGUCGGAGCUCAACUCCGUUCCGUGCCGUUGAAACUGGGUUCCUUGAGAGAAGACGAGGUAGGCGGAAUUCGGGGUGUAGCGGUGAAAUGCAUAGAUAUCCCGAAGAACACCGACAGCGCAGGCAGCUUACCAGACUUUUGCUGACGCUGAAGCACGAAAGUGUGGGUAUCAAACAGGAUUAGAUACCCUGGUAGUCCACACAGUAAACGAUGAUCACUCGCUGUUUGCGAUAUAUAGCAAGGGGCCAAGCGAAAGCGUUAAGUGAUCCACCUGGGGAGUACGCCGGCAACGGUGAAACUCAAAGGAAUUGACGGGGGCCCGCACAAGCGGAGGAACAUGUGGUUUAAUUCGAUGAUACGCGAGGAACCUUACCCGGGCUUGAAAUGCAUCUGAAUAAUGAUGAAAGUUAUUAGCCGUUUACGGCAGAUGUGUAGGUGCUGCAUGGUUGUCGUCAGCUCGUGCCGUGAGGUGUCGGCUUAAGUGCCAUAACGAGCGCAACCCUUAUCUUCAGUUACCAUCGGGUUAUGCCGGGGACUCUGGAGGGACUGCCUCCGCAAGGAGCGAGGAAGGGGGGGAUGACGUCAAAUCAGCACGGCCCUUACGUCCGGGGCGACACACGUGUUACAAUGGGCGGCACAGCGGGAAGCUACCGGGCGACCGGAUGCGAAUCCCGAAAGCCGUUCUCAGUUCGGAUCGGAGUCUGCAACCCGACUCCGUGAAGCCGGAUUCGCUAGUAAUCGCGCAUCAGCCAUGGCGCGGUGAAUACGUUCCCGGGCCUUGUACACACCGCCCGUC